CACAGAAGAGAGGAAGCAGAAGGCCAGUUAGAGCCAUUUCCUCUACUGCUGAGUGGGCUAAUUGGUGUUCUUGACUUGUGUAAGCUGUGGCCUUUAUUGGAAAUGGCUUGUUCUGGCAAAUCCUGUGACUGUCCAAGUUGGAAUUUGGAGGGUUUGGAGGACAGGUAUUUGUGAUUCCACGGCUGAUGGUUCCAGAAUCUUUGAUCUGUGCUUGAUCACACCAGUCUUUCUUGUUGCAUUGCUGUUUCACAUCUUUCUUUUUUGUAGAUUUUUUUAAUAAUAGCACACUAUGUAACUUUAUGUUGUUGCUGUGUUUCAAGCAGUGUGGGAGCAAUCUACGGUUAGUUUUUACAGGCAAACAAUGGAAAAAAAUAUAAUUAAAGAAAUUAUAGAGACUAUGUUGCGGUUUCAAAACACUAGCUUGGCAAACAUACACCAAAAGCGUUAACAUGUGAA